rnacentral:rRNA from 1 species
CCUACGGGACGCAGCAGUGGGGAAUAUUGGACAAUGGGCGAAAGCCUGAUCCAGCCAUGCCGCGUGUGUGAAGAAGGCCUUCGGGUUGUAAAGCACUUUCAGUGGGGAAGAAAGCCUUGGGGCUAAUACCCUCGAGGAAGGACAUCACCCACAGAAGAAGCACCGGCUAACUCCGUGCCAGCAGCCGCGGUAAUACGGAGGGUGCGAGCGUUAAUCGGAAUUACUGGGCGUAAAGCGCGCGUAGGCGGUCUGAUAAGCCGGUUGUGAAAGCCCCGGGCUCAACCUGGGAACGGCAUCCGGAACUGUCAGGCUAGAGUGCAGGAGAGGAAGGUAGAAUUCCCGGUGUAGCGGUGAAAUGCGUAGAGAUCGGGAGGAAUACCAGUGGCGAAGGCGGCCUUCUGGACUGACACUGACGCUGAGGUGCGAAAGCGUGGGUAGCAAACAGGAUUAGAUACCCUAGUAGUC